UACAGAGGCCUCGAGCGUUUAAUCGGAAUCACUGGGCUUAAAGGGUGCGUAGGCGGCGCUGCAAGUGCCUUGUGAAAUCCCAUCGCUUAACGAUGGAACUGCUCGGUAGACUGCAGUGCUUGAGGUUGGUAGGGGCUGCCGGAACUCUAGGUGGAGCGGUGAAAUGCGUAGAUAUCUAGAGGAACGCCCAAGGCGAAGGCAGGCAGCUGGGCCACUACUGACGCUGAGAAGCGAAAGCAUGGGGAGCGAACAGG
rnacentral:rRNA from 1 species